rnacentral:rRNA from 1 species
UAACACGUGAGCAACCUGCCUUUCAGUGGGGGACAACAUUUGGAAACGAAUGCUAAUACCGCAUAAGACCACAGUGUCGCAUGGCACAGGGGUCAAAGGAUUUAUCCGCUGAAAGAUGGGCUCGCGUCCGAUUAGCUAGAUGGUGAGGUAACGGCCCACCAUGGCGACGAUCGGUAGCCGGACUGAGAGGUUGAACGGCCACAUUGGGACUGAGACACGGCCCAG